rnacentral:lncRNA from 1 species
UGUUUGCUCCUUCUCUGUCUCGAGCAUGGUUUUCUAUCCUGCCGGGGAGGGCGAGAGCGCUGGGCAGAGGUGGCACCUGACCCGCUAGAACUCCGAUGUCACUGCUGUGGCUGUUACUCCCCUCGGCAAGAGUCAAGGCGCACGCAGGACGUGAACCCUGCACUGGACUGACCUCAUCUUUCCGAGGCUGUGAUAUUUCAGGAGAGUCUCAUUAUUGCUGAACAACUGAGACCACCAGGAGCCAGGUCCUAAGUGCAAAGAGAGACAGGAAACCUUUCUGCAACCAAAGGCUAUUACGAGGAUGGCUACAUCUCUCCUUCUGAAUGCCACCAGAUCAUUCCAGUCGCCUGCCUUUGUGGUGUCUCCAGACAAGGGCUGACAACCAUAGACGCGUCGCAGCCCUAAGGCUACUCAGAGAGAAGAACGUCUCUGGAGAAGGAUAUGAAUCAGAGAGAAAGAAGUGAAAUCUCGUCCUAGGAAGAAAGGGAGCGAUUGGCAGAAGACUUUUCUCUGGUAAGGCAAUUUACACACUUGUCUUUUGAGGGGUGAGUCACUGUCUGUGAUACAUUUCCCAGCAAUGUCUAAGAGUUUCCAAAUCUGGAGUUCACACUCCAGCCAGAUAAGGGAAAGGAGAAAGGGUCUUAUAAUCCACCUAGUUACCACUCAGAGCC